AGUGAACGCUGGCGGCAGGCCUAACACAUGCAAGUCGAACGGCAGCACAGUAAGAGCUUGCUCUUACGGGUGGCGAGUGGCGGGCGGGUGAGGAAUACAUCGGAAUCUACUUUUUCGGGGGGGAUAACGUAGGGAAACUUACGCUAAUACCGCAUACGACCUACGGGGGAAAGCAGGGGAUCUUCGGACCUUGCGCGAUUGAAUGAGCCGAUGUCGGAUUAGCUAGUGGGCGGGGUAAAGGCCAACCAAGGCGUCGAUCCGUAGCUCGCCUGAGAGGAUGGUCACCCACACUGGAACUGGGACACGGUCCUUAGUCCUGCGGUAGGCAGCAGUGUCGAAUGUUGGACAAUGGGCGCAAGUCUUGUCCAGCCAGCCCGCGUGUGUGGAGAAGGCCUUCGGGUUGUAAUGCCCUUUUUUUGGUUAAGAAAAGCAGCAGGUUAAUACCCCGCUGUAGUGACGGUACCCGAAGAAGAAGCACCGGCUAACUACGUG
rnacentral:rRNA from 1 species